UGGGGAAUAUUGGACAAUGGGGGCAACCCUGAUCCAGCCAUGCCGCGUGAGUGAUGAAGGCCUUAGGGUUGUAAAGCUCUUUUACCAGGGAUGAUAAUGACAGUACCUGGAGAAUAAGCUCCGGCUAACUCCGUGCCAGCAGCCGCGGUAAUACGGAGGGAGCUAGCGUUGUUCGGAAUCACUGGGCGUAAAGCGCGCGUAGGCGGCCAUUCAAGUCAGAGGUGAAAGCCCGGGGCUCAACCCCGGAACUGCCUUUGAAACUAGAUGGCUAGAAUCCUGGAGAGGUGAGUGGAAUUCCGAGUGUAGAGGUGAAAUUCGUAGAUAUUCGGAAGAACACCAGUGGCGAAGGCGACUCACUGGACAGGUAUUGACGCUGAGGUGCGAAAGCGUGGGGAGCAAACAGGAUUAGAUACCCCCGUAGUCC
rnacentral:rRNA from 1 species